CACCGAAGAAGGUGUUAAAAACGUAGAGUAACUUCUUUUUACGGAACUCUGACAGUGGCAUCUCGUCGAUCUGGUCGAUUUGGCCGAGCUGGCUGAGCGUGGGGUUGAACACGAUCGAACGAAGAGGUUAUACACUGGAGGAUCGUCCGGUUCCAACGAAGGACGGUUGGAACUCGCGAGAUUUUCGAGGAGAGGGGGAGAGAGAGAGAGAGAUGUGUGUGUGUAAAGACAGAGAGAGAGAGAGAGAGAGAGGACAAGCGGCGAACACUGCGUGAACAAACAGCGGACGACGAGAGCGCACGACGCGAAUGACGGA